rnacentral:rRNA from 2 species
GAAAGCCUUUGGCUUAACCAAAGAAGUGCAUCGGAAACUGUCAGACUUGAGUGCAGAAGAGGACAGUGGAACUCCAUGUGUAGCGGUGGAAUGCGUAGAUAUAUGGAAGAACACCAGUGGCGAAGGCGGCUGUCUGGUCUGCAACUGACGCUGAGGCUCGAAAGCAUGGGUAGCGAACAGGAUUAGAUACCCUGGUAGUCCAUGCCGUAAACGAUGAGUGCUAGGUGUUGGAGGGUUUCCGCCCUUCAGUGCCGCAGCUAACGCAUUAAGCACUCCGCCUGGGGAGUACGACCGCAAGGUUGAAACUCAAAGGAAUUGACGGGGGCCCGCACAAGCGGUGGAGCAUGUGGUUUAAUUCGAAGCUACGCGAAGAACCUUACCAGGUCUUGACAUCUUGCGCCAACCCUAGAGAUAAGACGUUUCCUUCGGGAACGCAAUGACAGGUGGUGCAUGGUCGUCGUCAGCUCGUGUCGUGAGAUGUUGGGUUAAGUCCCGCAACGAGCGCAACCCUUGUUACUAGUUGCCAGCAUUCAGUUGGGCACUCUAGUGAGACUGCCGGUGACAAACC